UACGGAGGGUGCAAGCGUUAUCCGGAUUCACUGGGUUUAAAGGGUGCGUAGGCGGGUUGGUAAGUCCGUGGUGAAAUCCCCAAGCUUAACCCGGAAACUGCCAUUGAUACUAUCUGUCUUGAAUUUCCUGGAGGUAAGCGGAAUAUGUCAUGUAGCGGUGAAAUGCUUAGAUAUGACAUAGAACACCAAUUGCGAAGGCAGCUUACUACGGGAAUAUUGACACUGAGGCACGAAAGCGUGGGGAUCAAACAGG
rnacentral:rRNA from 1 species